AAACCAGUGUUCAUUUCUGCCGUCCUCUGGCUCCUGCCAUCCUGGGGAAUGGCCGUGCCCUUCACAAAACCCCUGAGCCGGUGGCAGCAGCCCCUCCUUGGUGGUCCUGCUCCCCCUUUCCUACUCAGACAGUGCCCCCGAGCCGUGAGUUGGCUCUGGAGCUCUGAGAAUAAACCCACCUCUGUUCUACCAGCUCUAGGGCUGGAGCCGCGACUGCUACCUGUCCAGAAUUCCUCGGGUGAUUUCCGUUUUCCUGCCUGGAACCUGCGCUGAUACGGAUGCAGAUGAGCACAGCCUGGUAGCCUGUGCAGGGCCACUGGCCUUGGGCAGAGGGCUGUGGGAGACCAGGCUGCAGCUCUGACCACGCCCUGGCCCUGCUGGGACGGUGGACCUUGCCUAUCAGUCGCUGUAUCUCUGUUGCAGAAAAUGCUGAAUUCAGGACUUGCCGCGGUAUAACGGGAGACAGAAGACAAAACAAAGGCGAACGAAGAAAAAGCACUUCACCGAACCAGCUUGGGGCGAGGCCUCCGAGCGGGAGUGGGCGGCCCCGCACUGCGCACCGUCGGCAGUGGGGGCGGCCCUCUGUCCUCACGGAACAGCCCCCCUGUCCUGACGGAGGGCGGCGAAUGCUUGGGGACAGCGGCAGUGUGCGUGGGCGACACAUCCGAGAAAGGGAGAUACUACAUUUCCUCCUGGAAACUCGGGAAGAAUGCCAGCGUAAGGAAGCUCCCAGACAGUGAGCGCUGUGGACCUGUGUUGUUCCAGAAUUCCUUGUACUGGCCCUGGCUGGUGUGGCUCAGUGGAUUGAACGCGGGCUGUGAACUGAAGCAUCGCAGGUUUGAUUCCCAGUCAGGGCACAUGCCUGGGUUGUAGGCCACGGCCCCCAGCAACCGCACACUGAUGUUUCUCUCUCUCUCUCUUU